AUUGAACGCUGGCGGCAUGCUUUACACAUGCAAGUCGAACGGUAACAGGGAGCUUGCUCCGCUGACGAGUGGCGAACGGGUGAGUAAUAUAUCGGAACGUACCCAAGAGUGGGGGAUAACGUAGCGAAAGUUACGCUAAUACCGCAUACGAUCCAAGGAUGAAAGUGGGGGACCGCAAGGCCUCAUGCUCCUGGAGCGGCCGAUAUCUGAUUAGCUAGUUGGUGAGGUAAAGGCUCACCAAGGCAACGAUCAGUAGCUGGUCUGCGAGGACGACCAGCCACACUGGGACUGAGACACGGGCCAGACUCCUACGGGAGGCAGCAGUGGGGAAUUUUGGACAAUGGGGGCAACCCUGAUCCAGCAAUGCCGCGUGAGUGAAGAAGGCCUUCGGGUUGUAAAGCUCUUUUGUCAGGGAAGAAACGGGAGUGGCUAAUAUCCAUUUCUAAUGACGGUGCCUGAAGAAUAAGCACCGGCUAACUACGUGCCAGCCGCCGCCGUAACAC
rnacentral:rRNA from 1 species